CCUGCCAAUCCCAGCUGUAGAUAAGUGCAGCUGAUGAACUGUGCAGGCUUCUCUCUUUGGCGUUGUUUGUCCUGUGUCUGGAUACCUAAAGUGGUGAUUUUUUUCCCUAUCUUCUAUCCGCUAAAAGGCAGAUGUGGGGUUUUAUCAGCACCUUUAUCAAGAAUACUUCACUGAAUGGGAUGCUUUAAAGCAAGGCUACUACUUGUUUUUUGUUUGUACGGGUUUUUUUGUUUUUGUUCUUUGUUUCCCUCCCACAUUAUGACUUUACAAAAUAGCUUUCAACCUGAAGGAUCUCAAAGCUUCUUAGCAGCUAGUAUUCAAGUCACAGACAAGGAUCACAUCAUCCACAAAUGGAGGAGAUUAGCAACAUGCUGCUGUGUUACUCAACAUCACAGGGCGGGCAGUUUAAGAACUUAUUGUCCAGCUGAAACUUCAGGGAGAAUUUAAGAAGGCAAAAAAGUAAUUAAUUGAAUUGGAUUUGGCCAGGACAGAAGCUUUAAUAUGUUGUAUCUUCUUCUUUCCAUUUCAGAGCAGCUUCAUGGAUAUGGGCAACAAUACUAUAACCCUGCCAUCAAUUCCUUUCAGGGCUUGUUCCUCCAUUCAGCAUAAUUCAGUCAUGGUAGUAUCCAGCCAUCAAGUCAAUGAUCCUUUAUUUGUCUCAGAAUCACUCCAUUUCAGACCUGCCAUCUUUCCAAGAGCUCUCAUCUCUACUGCCUCCAGGCUUUUGAUGUUCAUUUUAUUUAAAGCUGCUAUUUCCAGUCCAUAGAGUAAUACUGUUAUCAUUGUUUUGAUAAAUAUGCACUUUGUUACCAAACAGAAUGUUUUUAUUGGUGCAUAAUUUCAUCAUUUUCUGUGCAGGUCCUACAGCCAAUGCACAUCUCCAUUUUAACUUGUUUUUGAUGGAACUGUUGACAAUGAUUGGUCUGCCAAGGUACACAAAAAUCUAAUUGUUCUAUGGCUUCAAAGAUGCUGCAUGUCAACAUUUUGUCUGCUGCCUCUUUUCCAGCUAUAACUGCUUUGUUUCUUGACAUUUCAUGUCAGGCCACAUCAAGCACACUGAUAUUACAAGGUAGUAAAGGGUAUCAUCAUUAAUUCAAACAUGCUGGCCGGUGCUGAAAUAUGCGCAUAACCAUACAUUUUGAUGAUACAAUGUCAUGUUCUCCAACUUCCUUGUAAUGUCCAGUUGAAGCACAGGAUGACAAACUAUGAUACUCCAUGUCUCUUUCUCUUUCAUCAAACUUUUACUUGAAGCACUUGCUUAAUUUUCUAUUUAUUCUUGCAAAACCACAGACAUUUGUAUACAUAGCUUUUAUUGUUGCAGUAAUCUUAUUUGGAAUUGUCAUAUCAUUUUGUUUCACUCCAGACUGAAUUAUAUGACCUUAUGCCGUAAAUUGACGUUUUCACUUUUUCACAUUUACUUACAGCAUGAUUGUUUUUGGCAUGACAAACUUAUGCAUAUUUGGAUUAGCAGGAUUUUCUUUCUUCAAGAUGAGUGCAACUCUUGUCUUUAAUCUGUUAGUUGAUAUUUAUUCCCACAUCUUCUUGUAUAAUUUUUUCUGAUGCUUUGAUGACACUUGUCCUACCAGUUUUUAAUAGCUAGAGCCUGGACACAUGACACCUGCUCUGAUGUAAAUUACACCAGGACCUGGAGUGGAUAGACAGAAAGAUGUCCAGGAGUAGUUGCUCACAGUGGGUAGUAUUACAGUGCCUUGACACGGCCAAUACGGCUACAACCUGGAUAUCUGACACAUGGAAGAUAUUGAAUUUUAGCUGAUUUUUAAAAAUUGAAAUUUUAAUAAUUUCCCAAGCAGAAAACAACUUUCACCAUCUGAAACCUGAGAUACUUCUUCUGCCUUUGUCUAAGGUAAUUUGCAUCAUCACAGCCUCACAGGAGAGCUGAGAGACUCUUUACCAGCUAAGAACUGCCUGCCCAGAGGAGUUUUCCAUCUAUUGACUCCUCUGUGAAAUCCUAUGAAAUAUGAACUUUCAUUUCUUCCCAGGAGAACUUUUGUAAUCUUUUUUCAAAUGCCUGAUAAAGGGUGUUUGUGCCUGAAAGCUUGCAAUUAAAGAAUUUUUUUUUGCAAAAAUCUUGUUGGUCUAAUAAAAGAUCACCUCUACCAUAAGCCCUGAUUGCUUUUUCCUCUAGACCAAUAUGGCUACAACCUGGAUACUUGACACUAGGUGGCAGGAGAACAGAUCAUAGCAAACAUAAAGCUUAUAGCAUUGUAGCUACUAGUAUCAUUUUACUCUUGAUUUUUCCCAGAGUAACUAUACCACCUUCAAGUAAGCUAUGCUGGUGUAGCCUUGUGAAUUAUGUAUUUGCUCCUUGUUCACACAAAUGUAAAACUAAUUACAAAUGUAAUGGGUCCAUGACCAAAACUGAUACAUUUUGUUUUGAAAGAGUUGUGGAAAAAUCUAGAUUGGUAGCUUUUCCUGUGUGUUCCGAUGCACCUUUUCAUGAGCAAGCCAGAUGCUUCAUAUGACAAACAGCACACCUGGCUUUUAACAGUCAUGCCUUUUAUAUAAUGUUCAGGUACAGAAUAUAUCAUCCUUAGAAUAGAAAAUGUUCCUCAUCAGUCCUCAGGACUCUUCUGUUUAUUCACACUGACAUUUCCAAACCCCUUUUGAGAUCAAUGGCCUGCAUGCAAAGAGUAUGUCUUAGUAUUUUGAUAGUACUGUGGACAGUAUAGGAAUUGUCAUACCGGAUAGGUUCAGUGGUUCAUCUGGUCUAGAUCAUGCCUCCAACAGCAGCAAAAGCCAAUUGUACAACCAGUUUUCCCCUAACAAAUCUGCCUGUGGAUGUUUUCAUUACCUGCAGAAGUGCCUGAUCCAGUUUUGAAAUUUGUUAAUGCUAAGACUCAGGAACAUGUAAUGGUAGUGAGGGCAAUAGUUUAAUUGUGAAUUAGAUAAAAAGUGCUUUUAUCAUUUUAAAUGUGUUAAUUUUCAAUGUCCGCAAAUGUUUCCUUGUUGUUCUAUUAUGAGAGGCCAAAUAAAAGCUCGCUGUUUUCUGUGCCCUCUCCUGUCAUUCAUAAUUAUGUACAUCCCUUUUUUGGAGAGAGAAAUUUAGCACUAAAUAUCUCUGUUAUUUGAGUUGUAAAUUCCUUCCAUGUGUUGUUUCUAUAAUCAUGAUUCAUUAUACAAAU